rnacentral:rRNA from 1 species
CUAAUCAGAAUGUCUACAUUUUAAGAUUAGAUCUCAAAUCAGGUAGGACUACCCGCUGAACUUAAGCAUAUCAAUAAGCGGAGGAAAAGAAACUAACAAGGAUUCCCCUAGUAGCGGCGAGCGAAGCGGGAAGAGCUCAAAUUUAUAAUCUGGCACCUUCGGUGUCCGAGUUGUAAUCUCUAGAAAUGUUUUCCGCGUUGGACCGCACACAAGUCUGUUGGAAUACAGCGGCAUAGUGGUGAGACCCCCGUAUAUGGUGCGGACGCCCAGCGCUUUGUGAUACAUUUUCGAAGAGUCGAGUUGUUUGGGAAUGCAGCUCAAAUUGGGUGGUAAAUUCCAUCUAAAGCUAAAUAUUGGCGAGAGACCGAUAGCGAACAAGUACCGUGAGGGAAAGAUGAAAAGCACUUUGGAAAGAGAGUUAACAGUACGUGAAAUUGUUGGAAGGGAAACGCUUGAAGUCAGACUUGCUUGCCGAGCAAUCGGUUUGCAGGCCAGCAUCAGUUUUCCGGGAUGGAUAAUGGUAGAGAGAAGGUAGCAGUUUCGGCUGUGUUAUAGCUCUCUGCUGGAUACAUCUUGGGGGACUGAGGAACGCAGUGUGCCUUGGCGGGGGUUUC